rnacentral:misc_RNA from 1 species
GCGGGUCGGCUCCUCUCAAAUGAAUCAGCUUGCCAGUGUUUGGUGGCAUCACGGGUGUGAUAACUAUCUACGCUUGUGGUUUUCCACCAGGUAACCUUCAGCAAUGGAGGUUCGCUGGGGCUCACAAAUGUCUCUCCUCGGUGAGGACAACUUCUUGAAUGUUUGAUCUCAAAUCAGGUAGGGCUACCCGCUGAACUUAA